rnacentral:lncRNA from 10 species
AAAAGUAGUUGUGAGAGCAGAUCAAAGGAUAAUGGUAUAGGGAAAGAAUUUCAAAGGGGGAAACUGAUACGAAGAAACAGUUUUUCUUAUACUUGCUUGGGGGAGGAGGUGUUGGGAGAGUCUCUGGAGCUCAUUCCUUUGGGCUCUGGCUUUUCAGAUAGUGUUAUCAAGGCCCCACUAGGGCCCUGCCUACUGCUAGCCUUGGAGUGAGUCAGCCAAGAAUUUCCUGGAAUGUUUGCUAAAAUGAAGACUCCCAGAGGCCUCCACAGAUCUACAGAAUAAGAAUCUCUCAUGAUGGGACUCAGAAAUCUCCAAUCAAUCAUCCACCCUCCUCCUCCCUACCCCAGGAUACUGAUGCAGACAGCCUGGCCACCCCUUUUGGAGAAACACGAUUGCAGAUGACUGAUUAAAUUGUAUGGCUUUACCUCUCUUAUAUAUGCAUUUUGGGAAGCAAUACAAUUUCUGCAGGUUAAAGCCAAAGGAAUGAUGAUCUAGCUGUGAAAUGUUAGACUUCGUUGAGUUGGGUGGUGGAGACACCUCCUCAACUAGCUCUUCAGCCUAGGCUGGGCUCGUUCCUCCAGUAAAUGGUAAGUUACUGGGUCAGGGAUGCUUCUCUGUCUUUCAACCUAUGGGCCUUUAUCAUGCCUAAGUAUAUGGUAUGGUCCCCUACAGCGGUGACUGUCAGUCUGGAUCAGGUGGCAAAAUGGGAAGCCAUGACACUCUGUGAAGUAUGAUAUAAAAUAUUGAUAUAUUUAACUCCACUUAGAAAGCCAUGCUGGGAGAAAAUAUGACUUUAUUAUUAUAUGUAUGCAAUGUAAAAUAACAACCAAGAGAAUAUAUGGAAAACAAGCUGUCAUGUCAAACAUGAGUGACUAUUUCUGAACAGAUCUAUGGCUCAUCUUUUGCACAUGGUGACUCAUUUUCUUACAGGCCAACAAGGAACAACAGGUGCCCAAACUGUAUGAAAUUUAAGGAAGGAAAUUUUACAGUGAAAAAUUGAGACCCAUCGAUUUUGUUUUUCUGUACAUUGAUAAAUUUAUAUCUAGUGAAAGGACAUCUCAUACCUAUUCCAGACUUGGAAAGGAGGUUAGUUUUGCUUGAGUAAACCUACUUCUUCAAGACUUGAAAUUUUGUCCAAGGAGUCCCUAAAUGGAUGUUGUUCUUCUGCGUGUGGGUGUGUGUGCAUGUGGGGUUGUAUAUAAAAAAUUGCCAUCAAGUUUUUUCCAGUGACAUAGAAUAUUUUAAGGUUGCUAUUUCAAGUUGGGCAAAGAAAUUCUUACGCAUGUGGUAAGCAGAUAUGUUUAAAUGGUAUGAAAUUAAAAUUUUAAAGAGGAC